rnacentral:rRNA from 1 species
CUACGGGACGCUGCAGUGAGGAAUAUUGCACAAUGGGGGGAACCCUGAUGCAGCAACGCCGCGUGGAGGAUGACGCAUUUCGGUGUGUAAACUCCUUUUAUAUGUCAAGAAAAUGACGGUAGCAUAUGAAUAAGCACCGGCUAACUCCGUGCCAGCAGGCCGCGGUAAUACGGAGGGUGCAAGCGUUACUCGGAAUCACUGGGCGUAAAGGACGCGUAGGCGGGUUGGAAAGUCAGGUGUGAAAUCCUACAGCUUAACUGUAGAACUGCACUUGAAACUUCUAAUCUAGAGUAUGGGAGGGGAGAUGGAAUUAGUGGUGUAGGGGUAAAAUCCGUAGAUAUCACUAGGAAUACCUAAAGCGAAGGCGAUCUCCUGGAACAUUACUGACGCUAAGGCGUGAAAGCGUGGGGAGCAAACAGGAUUAGAUACCCUAGUAGUC